UAUAAGGGAUUUUGAGUUUUUGCUUGCAGCGUUUGACCACUCGUCUUAUUCAAAUUUUUUUGAAAUUAUUAAUUAUUGUAUUUGUGACUUACUUUAUUAUCUACAGUACUUUAAGCACAACUUUUCAUUUUUUAUAUUUGCAUAAAAAAUUUGAAUAAGACGAGUGGUCAAACGUUGCAAGCAAAAACUUAAAAUCCCUUAUA
rfam:Oryza nivara chromosome 1, whole genome shotgun sequence.